AUGUGCUGUUCUGGGCUUUGUAGGAUGGUUAGCAAUAUCCCUGCUGAAAGCCAAUGGCACCUCCCCCUCCUCUAUUCCCACCUUCUGAGUUGUGACAACACAAAGGGCCUCCAGACAUGGCUAGAGUUCCACGGAGGGGCGAAUGGUCCCAGGAGAGAACCCCCACUGUCUAUAAUAAAGGAGUCGUAUUUCCUGGGAGGUGGACGUAGAACGCAGAACAAGUCUACCAAUCCAAUGAACAACGUUGAUGAACAGAUACAUUAUUUUUGGACGAUCCAAAUGGAAGAAAUUUUAACAUCAACAAAACCACAUGAUGCUGAAUACUUCAUCCGCAUUGGCCUCAGUUUCCUCACCUGUAAAAUGGGCGCCAAUGACACCAGCCAUGUACCUAGUACCUCCUGUGCUGGACCCUGAAGGGACUCAGAUACGCCCCAGAGCUUGUUCAUUUCCUGACCGACCGGAGAAGUCCCAUGUUGAAUUCACAUUUGACGCCACGAAGGAAUCCAAGUGGAAGAAUGUGUAUUUCCAAAACUAG
ensembl:lncRNA